AAAGCGAAACUUGGCGUGAAAUGUGGACAAAAAGCAGGCUGCAUAGCCUUGAGUGUGUAUGUUUACGAAGAGCGUGCACACAAUCGCCGGCCGAGUACGAGAGCGAAUAAAAACGGAACGGCCUGCCAGCUGACCUGGAACGAAAACAAACCAAAGUGUAGCGAGCGAGAAUAAAUGGAUAAAUGGAGGCUUCGUGUGCGUUGGCGAGGUGAGAUGAAGGGUCGCUGAUCAAUCAGCGCGGUGCCACCUAUCACAAAGGCGCGAAAUGGAAAAUCACCUGGCGAUUCAGCAAGUCAGAAGGCGAGAAUUACGAUUCCGCCUCUUAUCAAAGACACAAACACCAUGCUCGGCCCGCGACUGGAAAAUGGCUCUCAUUCUCUUUCUCGUGCUGCCAGCUUUAUUGAUGAUUCUAAUCGAAUGACAUAUCAUGUAUCAUUAAAUCAGUUCGGCCAGUCAUUACCCACAAAUAAAACGGACCAAUCAGAUAAAGGGUGCACGACCUGCCGAGCCAGAGAUUGAGAGCGAGUAUAAAUAAUAAUACGCGCGCGGGGCACAAAGGUCCCUCAUCUCGGCCGAGUUCAAUUUAUUAUUAUUUUCCUCGGCAGAUAAUGCGGGACGACGCCGACUGGUACUCCACGAUGGAUAAUGUAUGUAAACAUCAUGCCAACUCGGGACUGUUUUUCCUUCGUCCGUCGAGAAAGAGAGGAAGCUGGGGGGCCAGCUUCCGGGUCAACGGCGAAUCUUUGUUUCCACGCGGGGCCCGUUUCCGACUGAAGUAAAUCUGCGUGGGAAAAGGGAAAUGGGCCGACAGAGAUUCCCAAUCGAGAUUACGGACCACUGGCUGAGAAGGGCUUUCCAAGCCAUUUAUUUAUGCAACAGCAGCCAUUUCCUGGUGGCCAUCAAUCAGGCGGCCAGAAGAAAUAAAAGCAGCGAGUUGGUGCAGGAAGUGCGACGGCGCCGUCGAGGCAGGCACAAAUAAAAGCAACAUAUUCGCUGAACCGUGCGCGCGGCUAAGAAGUCCAUUAUUCUCUCCACUUGCCGCUGACGCUAAUCGAGCGGCUAAAUGCCCGAAUUCCGGCACGCGAGCCGCACUGAUCAAGCACUUUUAUUAAUUAAAUGCCUUGCGAUUUCUGAUUUAAAGAUGAUAACCGCAAAAGUAAA